rnacentral:rRNA from 1 species
AUUGAACGCUGGCGGAAUGCUUUACACAUGCAAGUCGAACGGCAGCACGGACUUCGGUCUGGUGGCGAGUGGCGAACGGGUGAGUAAUGUAUCGGAACGUGCCCAGUCGUGGGGGAUAACGUAGUGAAAAUUACGCUAAUACCGCAUACGAUCUAUGGAUGAAAGCGGGGGAUCGCAAGACCUCGCGCGAUUGGAGCGGCCGAUAUCAGAUUAGGUAGUUGGUGGGGUAAAGGCCCACCAAGCCAACGAUCUGUAGCUGGUCUGAGAGGACGAGCAUCCACACUGGAACUGAGACACGGUCCAGACUCCUACGGGAGUCAGCAGUGGGGAAUUUUGGACAAUGGGCGAAAGCCUGAUCCAACCAUUCCGCGUGCAGGAUGAAGGCCCUCGGGUUGUAAACUGCUUUUGUACAGAACGAAAAGGUUUCUACUAAUACUAGGAGCUCAUGACGGUACUGUAAGAAUAAGCACCGGCUAACUACGUGCCAGCCGCCGCCGUAA